rnacentral:lncRNA from 1 species
UUCUAGGUGUAUUCUAUCUUUGUUUUUAAUGUUUAAUUUAAGUUAUCUUUGUUUAUUUGCGAACAUGAGGAACUAAUUUCUUUAUAGUUAGAGGUGAAUUCGAAGCCAUGAUUAUAUGUUUUAUAUGAAUUGAUUUCAUCCAGUUAUUGUUUCAUGAAUUGUGGAUGUGGUUUACUUAUCGGUUUUAUUAAGAACUUGUUCUUGUGUGUUAAUUAAGGAUGCAUACUUAGUCUGCAUGCAUGAAUUUGAUGCUAGAGUAUAAGGGAAUUUCACCUAAUCGUUAUGAACUUAUAUUCAUGAGUAGUAAAAGUCGUUAGUCAUGAUUGUGUUAAGUAAAUCCUAGGCAAGAGUAACAUGCUUUUCAUAGUUAUGAAUGUCUCGUCAAUGCUUAUAGUUUCCAUUGAACUUAAUGAUCUUUGUUAAGUGUUUCUAUCAUGCGUAUUCCAUAGUUAGGGAACUUGAUAAAGAAUAACUUGGUUGUGAUGCGUUA